rnacentral:rRNA from 1 species
GACGAACGCUGGCGGCGUGCUUAACACAUGCAAGUCGAACGAUGAACUUGGAGCUUGCUCUGGGGGAUUAGUGGCGAACGGGUGAGUAACACGUGAGUAACCUGCCCUGGACUCUGGGAUAACUUCGAGAAAUCGGAGCUAAUACCGGAUAGGACCUUGCACCGCACGGUGUGGGGUGGAAAGUUUUUCGGUUUGGGAUGGACUCGCGGCCUAUCAGCUUGUUGGUGAGGUAAUGGCUCACCAAGGCGUCGACGGGUAGCCGGCCUGAGAGGGUGACCGGCCACACUGGGACUGAGACACGGCCCAGACUCCUACGGGAGGCAGCAGUGGGGAAUAUUGCACAGUGGGCGCAAGCCUGAUGCAGCAACGCCGCGUGCGGGAUGACGGCCUUCGGGUUGUAAACCGCUUUUAGUAGGGAAGAAGCCUUCGGGUGACGGUACCUGCAGAAAAAGGACCGGCUAACUACGUGCCAGCCGCCGCCGUAAUAC